rnacentral:rRNA from 1 species
UACAGAGGUCUCAAGCGUUGUUCGGAUUCAUUGGGCGUAAAGGGUGUGUAGGUGGUGCUGUAAGUCAGGUGUGAAAUCUCGGGGCUCAACCCCGAAACUGCACUUGAUACUGCAGUGCUCGAGGACUGGAGAGGAGAUUGGAAUUCAUGGUGUAGCAGUGAAAUGCGUAGAUAUCAUGAGGAAGACCAGUGGCGAAGGCGGAUCUCUGGACAGUUCCUGACACUGAGGCACGAAGGCCAGGGGAGCAAACGGG